rnacentral:sRNA from 1 species
AAAAAAAAGUAGAAAAACA